CUGCCUGUCACGCAGGAGGUCGAGGGUUCGAGUCCCUUCCGGAUCGCAA
rnacentral:tRNA from 1 species